rnacentral:rRNA from 1 species
GAUGAACGCUAGCUACAGGCUUAACACAUGCAAGUCGAGGGGAAACGUCAUCGAAGGCUUGCUUUUGAUGGGCGUCGACCGGCGCACGGGUGAGUAACGCGUAUCCAACCUGCCCACCACUUGGGAAUAACCUUGCGAAAGUAAGACUAAUACCCAAUGAUAUCCCACGAAGGCAUCCGAAUGGGAUUAAAGAUUUAUCGGUGAUGGAUGGGGAUGCGUCUGAUUAGCUUGUUGGCGGGGUAACGGCCCACCAAGGCGACGAUCAGUAGGGGUUCUGAGAGGAAGGUCCCCCACAUUGGAACUGAGACACGGUCCAAACUCCUACGGGAGGCAGCAGUGAGGAAGAUUGGUCAAUGGGCGAGAGCCUGAACCAGCCAAGUAGCGUGCAGGAUGACGGCCCUAUGGGUUGUAAACUGCUUUUAUAAGGGAAUAAAGUGAGUCUCGUGAGACUUUUUGCAUGUACCUUAUGAAUAAGGACCGGCUAAUUCCGUGCCAGCAGCCGCCGUAA